GACGAACGCUGGCGGCGCGCCUAACACAUGCAAGUCGAACGAGCGAGAGAGAGCUUGCUUUCUCGAGCGAGUGGCGAACGGGUGAGUAACGCGUGAGGAACCUGCCUCAAAGAGGGGGACAACAGUUGGAAACGACUGCUAAUACCGCAUAAGCCCACGGUGCCGCAUGGCACAGAGGGAAAAGGAGCAAUCCGCUUUGAGAUGGCCUCGCGUCCGAUUAGCUAGUUGGUGAGGUAAUGGCCCACCAAGGCGACGAUCGGUAGCCGGACUGAGAGGUUGAACCGGCACAUUGGGACUGGGACAACGCCCAGACUCCCAACGGAGGAAGCAAGUGGGAAUAAUGCACCAUGGGGGAAACCCUGAUGCCGCCACGUCGCGUGGAGGAAGAAGGUUCUCGGAUUGGAAACUCCUGUUGUUGGGGAAGAUAAUGACGGUACCCAACAAGGAAGUGACGGCUAACUACGUG
rnacentral:rRNA from 1 species